rnacentral:lncRNA from 1 species
ACAUGAUCCAAUGUUCCGCGAUCCCCUUUCAGGCUAAUUAUUCACACAAACUACAAUAACAUCAUCGGCGUGAUCGCGCUGGAUUUCUCUCCUCCCUUAUCAACAAAUGACACUCGGGCUGGCCCUGAAAUUUCAGCCUGGGGAGUGAGUGCAGUGGUUAGUUCAUGAGGACUCUCGGGGAACAAAAGAUACCUUUCCAAUUAAAGUUAAUAGAGGGAUAACUUCAGACACACAAAGGGGAAGAAAGACACUUAUAAGUCAUGGUGAGUUCAAAAGGAAAGAAUUAAGGUGGAUACACAAAGCAUCAUGGGAAGCUCUAUUCAAGCCUGCCUGUCACAAAGCCUGAUUAACAGCUGCUCCAAGUUGGCCCGAUCACCAGGGAGUCUUACUGGUGGAAAUGUUCUUUCUUUCCAGCCCGGCUCUGUGGCCCCACUGGACCGGACACCGGAGCGGGAGAGAAGGAAGAGUGUCGUGGGACCUGGCCUGGGGAGGACAGGUGAUUCGUCCUCUCCCUUAGUGGGGAGGAACACUUGUCCUGGAUUCGAGGGGCUGCCAUUACUCUAAUGAACAAGUAAUGUGGUAUUCGGGAUGACCCCUGGCUGCCAUAGCAACAAAUCAUGACAUCAUGAAAACACAGGAUGACUUUAGGGUGGGAGAGGCAGCCACCUAAUGGGGAGGGCCCCCUCGCCUCCAUCGGGCGCUCAGCGAGUAGCCCAACCUAGGCCACCUCUUUGAGGCACAGAACGAGAUGCCUGCAGGUGUGUGUAGGAAGGGGGCGGGGAGGGCUGGGGGACAGAAACCCCCAAGAAUUCUUCCAAGUCUACAGAGAAACUCCAAAGAGGACAAGAAGGCUCCCAGCUGCCACGGAAGUGAAUUAUUGCCUCGCUCUAAAGGGGUGGCAGGCCAUUUCUCCGGGGCUGGUGAUGGCGGAGGGGGCAGGAUGGAGAGCUGACCUCCUGGCCCGUGGGCAGGUCAGAGUGGGCCUGAGAAAGGACUGUGGUGGCCUGGCCUGGGGCGAGGGGCUGGGCUUGGAGUUGGGGUGGCAGAAGGGUCAAACACGGCCACGUGUCCCACAACAUUCACACAUUCUUAACUGGGGCCCAAACCAGAUCAAAAUGUAGUUUGGACUAUUCCAUAAAAGACAAUAAAACCGAGCUACGAGUGCA